UGGGGAAUCUUGGACAAUGGGGGAAACCCUGAUCCAGCAAUGCCGCGUGUGUGAAGAAGGCCUUCGGGUUGUAAAGCACUUUCAGUAGGGAAGAAAAGCUCAGGGUGAAUACCCCUGAGUCUUGACGUAACCUAAAGAAGAAGCACCGGCUAACUCUGUGCCAGCAGCCGCGGUAAUACAGAGGGUGCAAGCGUUAAUCGGAAUUACUGGGCGUAAAGCGCGCGUAGGCGGUUCGAUAAGUCGGAUGUGAAAUCCCCGGGCUUAACCUGGGAAUUGCAUUCGAGACUGUCAGACUAGAGUAUGGUAGAGGGAAGUGGAAUUCCACAUGUAGCGGUGAAAUGCGUAGAUAUGUGGAGGAACAUCAGUGGCGAAGGCGGCUUCCUGGACCAAUACUGACGCUGAUGCGCGAAAGCGUGGGGAGCAAACAGG
rnacentral:rRNA from 1 species